GCUAAACAACUAGCUUAACCACCCAAAUAACCAAACAAUCAGUAACAAAGAUUUAAAUUAAAUAAAAUAACUAAACCAUUCCCCUAACCCUAGUAUGGGAGACAGAAAAGGCCCCAUUAAAGCAAUAGAAAAAGUACCGCAAGGGAAAGUUGAAAGAGAAAUGAAACAACCCAUAUAAGCCAUAAAAAUCAAAGACUAAAUCUUGUACCUUUUGCAUCAUGAUUUAGCAAGUCUAUUCAAGCAAAGAGACCUUUAGUUUGAAACCCCGAAACCAAGUGAGCUACCCCGGGACAGCUUAAAUAAUAUUAGAGCGAACCCGUCUCUGUGGCAAAAGAGUGGAAAGAGCCCCGGGUAGAGGUGAAAAACCUACCGAACUUGGUGAUAGCUGGUUGCCUAAGAAAUGAAUAUUAGUUCAGCAUUAUAUCCCCUAAACCAAACCCCAGCAAGGAAUUUAGGAAAAAUAUAAUAGUCAAUUUAAGAGGGUACAGCCUCUUAAAUAAAGGACACAACCUUAACAGGAGAAUAAAGAUUAUAAUACCAAAAACAUAUUACCCUAGUAGGCUUAAAAGCAGCCACCUAAAUAGAAAGCGUCAAAGCUCAAGCAAACAAAAGUUUAUUAUUCUAAUAAAUUAAUCUCACUUCCCCAAAAAUACUAGGCUAUUCCAUGCACCCAUGGAAGAAAUUAUGCUAAAAUGAGUAACAAGAAGAACACGCCCUUCUCCAAGCACGAGUGUAAGUCAGAUCGGACCUACCACUGAUAAUUAACGAACCCAAAAAGAGGGCAAUAUAGACUAAAUAAUAAUCAAGAAAAACCCAUAAAUAAAUCAAUCGUUAUCCUUACACCAGAGUGCGCACAAAGGAAAGACUAAAAGAAAAGGAAGGAACUCAGCAAACACAAGCCUCGCCUGUUUACCAAAAACAUCGCCUCCUGCAUAGCCAUGUAUAGGAGGUCCAACCUGCCCACGUGACUAUAAGUUAAACGGCCGCGGUAUUUUAACCGUGCAAAGGUAGCGUAAUCACUCGUUCCCUAAAUAGGAACCCGUAUGAAUGGUUAGACGAGGGCCUAACUGUCUCCCUUUUCCAGUCAGUGAAAUUGAUCUAUCCGUGCAGAAGCGGAUAUAAUAAUACAAGACGAGAAGACCCUUUGGAGCUUAAGGUACAAGACUCAAUCAUUUUAACAACGAUUAUUCAUGAAAACUGAGACUUUACCUUCGGUUGGGGUGACCACGGAAAAAACCAACAUCCGAGUGGAUUGAAUAAUUUUCAGAACCAAGAAAAACACUUCUAAGUAGCAGAACAUCUGACCAAAUAUGACCCGGCCACAAGCCGAUCAACGAACCAAGUUACCCAAGGGAUAACAGCGCAAUCCUCUUUAAGAGCCCCUAUCGACAAGAGGGUUUACGACCUCGAUGUUGGAUCAGGACAUCCUGAUGGUGCAGCCACUAUCAAGGGUUCGUUUGUUCAACGAUUAAAGUCCUACGUGAUCUGAGUUCAGACCGGAGAAAUCCAGGUCAGUUUCUAUCUGUAAUGCCAUUUUCUCCUAGUACGAAAGGACCGGAAAAAGAGGGCCAACUCUAUAAGCGCGCCCUACCCCAAAUUAAUGAAUCCAAAUAAAUUAAACUAAAGGGAGAGCACAAAACAAUCAUCCGAAAUAAGGAGAU
rnacentral:rRNA from 1 species